rfam:Ovis aries breed Texel chromosome 3, whole genome shotgun sequence.
UCCCUGGUGGUCCAGUGGUUAGGACUCUGAACUUCCAGUGCAACAGGGAGCAGGUUUGAUCCCUGGUCAGGGAA